ACAACCCUAUGCGGGGAUCACUUGGCUCGCGAGUCGAUGAAGAGCGCAGCAAACUGCGUGAAUUAAUGUGAUUUGCAGGACCCAUUGAUCAUGGAUAUCUUGAACGCAUAUUGCGGUUAUGGAUGGCUUCCAUGACCACCCCUGUCGGGGGGUGGGUAUUAUUAU
rnacentral:rRNA from 1 species